rnacentral:rRNA from 1 species
UACAGAGGUCUCGAGCGUUGUUCGGAUUCAUUGGGCGUAAAGGGUGCGUAGGUGGCAGGGUAAGUCGGAUGUGAAAUCCCGGGGCUCAACCUCGGAACCGCAUUCGAUACUGCUUUGCUUGAGUACUGGAGAGGAGAUUGGAAUUUACGGUGUAGCAGUGAAAUGCGUAGAUAUCGUAAGGAAGACCAGUGGCGAAGGCGGAUCUCUGGACAGUUACUGACACUGAGGCACGAAGGCCAGGGGAGCAAACGGG